AAGACUUGCCACCCCUCUCUGUCCCCAAAGGCAAUUUUUAAAAAGACUAAGAACUUUCCCUUGGCCCCUUCCCUGGCCAUCACAAUGUGCCGCUCCUACAAAUUUGCCUUCAUUGGCAAGUGCUUACUUUUUGCCUAUGUGUUAUUUUGCCCCUGUAAGCGGGGAAGCGUUCAUAAAAUGAAAGCCUUUUUAAAAAGGCCCUUGGUUAUAAACAGUAGGAUGUAAAAUAUGCACAUAAUGUUUCGGACCAAGCAGUGCUGCUUUAUGGAUUAAUAGCUGGGCACAGGACUCGGUCUGUGUCCCUUUGCUAGCAAUGGAGCUUGCCAAGCUGAAAUCCUGGCUGAGCAUGCGCAAUAACCAGAACUCACUGGACUACUUCAGCCACCUAAAGGUCAUUGCAAAAGCCUCCCGUUACCUUCAGGUAGGACAGCUCUCAAAUGACCCUCAUGUUUAAGAUGCUGGUUUGGCAACACUGGCCUGCUUGAGACUACACCUAAACCACGAUUUAGCACUACUACAUUAAUGAGCCUAAAGAGCCAAGAGCUCUCACUAAAGUUGCCACAUUCAUCCAGGAGAAUUCCUUUUGACACAACAGUCGUGUAGUGAUCAGCCUCCACUCCGUCUAAAGAUUUAACAAGGAGUGAACCCUUGUCUUAUCUGACAGGCCUGUGAACUCUAGGGCAGCCAAUAAAUACACCAGCAAAGAAGAAAAAUUAUUAAUGAAACAUAUGCAAUGACUCCAGCAUAUAAGAAGUCUAGGUAUGGUCAGUGUCUGAGCGGGAGAGCAUCUGCAGUGCCAUACUAGAAGGCAAGAUAUCAUACAGUGUAAUAAUGAAAUAAGACAUAAUGGAUGCUCAUUAUUUCAGAAUGUUGUGCCUCCACAGAACA